GACGAACCGUGCGAACGUUGUUCGGAAUCACUGGGCUUAAAGGGCGCGUAGGCGGCCGGGUUGGUCGUGGGUGAAAUCCCCCAGCUUAACUGGGGAACUGCCUACGAUACUGCCUGGCUCGAGGGAGGAAGGGGCGGUCGGAACUGUCGGUGGAGCGGUGAAAUGCGUAGAGAUUGGAAAGAACACCGAUGGCGAAGGCACUUUACUGGGCUAUUACUAACACUCAGAGACGAAAGCUAGGGUAGCAAAUGGG
rnacentral:rRNA from 1 species